UAUAUAUAGAGAGAGAGAGAGAGAGAGAGAGAGAGAGAGAGAGAGAGAGAGAGAGAGCUACUAUACUCUAAUAAGUAUAAAGUUCUUCGUACUCAUAAAUUGUAUUUGACGAUGGGACUUCCGAAUCGAUAAUCCACUUCGUUAAUAUGAUCCAGAGUAUUUGAAAUUUCUAAAAAAUAAAUUUUAUAAUUUUUUAAAAUCAUAAUAAAGUUUAUCAAACGGACAAAAAAUAAACGGUCAAAAUCGAACAAUGUUCUAAAAAUAAAUGAUCAAAUCCUUCAAUUUAAGAUCAGAGUUAUUGGUCUUUAAUUAUCUAAGUAGUGAAUAGAAUUUUCUAUCAAAAAUUCAACCUAUUCCAAUUCUUUUACACCGUUAAACUAGCAAGUAUUUCAUAACGGUCAUUAAAAAUUAUUAAUUUUGUGAGCUUUUAAUCGUAAGGUAAAUUAUGCUAAAAAGUUAUGAAAUUUGAUUUUUAGAAGUUUUAAAUGCUCUAGCUAAUGCUUAACGGUAUGGAUCAUCGAUUCGAAAGCUCUAUCAUAAAAAAAGACUUAUGAGUACGAUGAUGAUUGUAUUUAUAAGAGUAUAAAAGCACGUAUUUCAAAUCUCGGUCUGUCGACAGACCCAUUUUUUAGCGGGAAAAAUAAUUUGGUUCAUGUUUCUUUACAUAACAUUUUAAAUAUAAGAAUAAGAAUAGAAAUAGAAACCGGAAUGAAUACGUAAGUUUUCUAUAACAGAUUACGGGUGUGAAAAUCUUAAAAAAUAUAUUUUUCUAUUUAAUUUCAAAAGUAAGUUUUCUAUAACAGAUUACGGGUGUGAAAAUCCUAUAAAAUAUAUUUUUCUAUUUACUUUUAAGGUUAAAAUAUCUUUUUUUAGAUAUUUUUGUGUGAAAAUCCUAUAAAAGAUAACGGAUUUUAUUUUUUCCUUUUUUAUAUUAAUUUGCGAAUUUCAAAAUAUCUUUUCUUUUUAAGAUAACAGAUUUUAUUUUUUUAUUUAAUUUCAAAAUAUUUUUUUUCUAUUUAACAUUAAUUCCCGAUCAAAU
rnacentral:lncRNA from 1 species